UCGGACUUCCUGCCAUGCUCAAUGCUGAGGUACUUGCCAAUAGAGAGCAGAAGCUACAAUUGAAUAUUACGAGUACAAGUCUGAAGCAACUGGAACAUUGAGAAAAGACUUGCAUCACCCGAUCAUUUAAAAGAUUCUGAAACCUCAAACAUCCUUCAUUGCUGAGGUAUAUGCCGCAGCAAUCGCAAUUGAGCGGCAGCUACAAUAUAAUAUUACGAGUCUGAAUCAACUGGAAUAUUUAUAGAAAACUCUUAGAUGAUCAGUCAAAGAAUUUUUGUCUCGGACUUCCUUCCACUCUCAGGAACAUGUCGAUGGGGGACAGCAGCUACAAUUGAAUAUUAAAAGACUAAGCAACUGGAGUAUAUUAGAAAAAACUUGGAUCAGUUAAGAGUUUAUGUCAUAUCGGACUUCCUUCAAUGAUGAGAUACUUGCUAAUUACUGCAAUUAAAUAUCACAAAUAUAAAGCAAAUGGAAUAAAAAUCAGCUAAGAGUUCCUGUCAUCGAGCUUCCUUCCAUUGUCAGGUAAAUGCCUAUAGAGAGCAGAAGCUACAAAUGAAUAUUACGAGUACAAGUAUGAAGCAACUGGAAUAGAUAAAAAUCGCAUCAACAGAACUUCUAAGUUAUACUGUCACAUCGGACUUCCUUAAAUGCUGAGAUACUUGUCAGGAGAGAUCAGCAACUACAGUUAAAUAUCACAAAUCUGAAGCAACUGGAAUACACAUCAGCUGAUC